rnacentral:rRNA from 1 species
AUUGACCGCUAGCGGCAGGCCUAACACAUGCAAGUCGAACGAGUGGCGGACGGGUGAGUAAUGUAUGGGAAACUGCCUGAUGGCGGGGGAUAACUACUGGAAACGGUCGCUAAUACCGCAUACCAUCGGAUGUGCCCAGAGGGGCUUAGCUAGUAGGUGGGGUAACGGCUCACCUAGGCGACGAUCCCUAGCUGGUUUGAGAGGAUGACCAGCCACACGGGAAAUGAGACACGGUGCAGACUCCGACGGGAGGCAGCAGUGGGGAAUAUUGAACAAUGGGCGCAAGCCUGAUGCAGCCAUGCCGCGUGUAUGAAGAAGGCCUUCGGGUUGUAAAGUACUUUCAGCGGGGAGGCGUUACCCGCAGAAGAAGCACCGGCUAACUCCGUGCCAGCCGCCGCGGUAAUUC